rnacentral:rRNA from 1 species
AGAGUUUGAUCCUGGCUCAGGACGAACGCUGGCGGUGUGCCUCACACAUGCAAGUCGAACGAGGUAGCAAUACCUAGUGGCGGACGGGUGAGUAACGCGUAGGAAUCUGCCUUUAGAUGGGGGAUAGCAGGCCGAAAGGCCUAUUAAUACCCCAUAUGUGUACGCCUCGACAGGGGUGUACAUGAAAGGAGCAAUCCGUC